rnacentral:rRNA from 1 species
AUUGAACGCUGGCGGCAUGCUUUACACAUGCAAGUCGAACGGUAACAGGCCGCAAGGUGCUGACGAGUGGCGAACGGGUGAGUAAUGCAUCGGAACGUGCCCAGUCGUGGGGGAUAACGCAGCGAAAGCUGUGCUAAUACCGCAUACGAUCUAUGGAUGAAAGCGGGGGAACGUAAGGCCUCGCGCGAUUGGAGCGGCCGACGAAAGAUUAGCUAGUUGGUGGGGUAACGGCCCACCAAGGCGACGAUCUGUAGCUGGUCUGAGAGGACGACCAGCCACACUGGGACUGAGACACGGCCCAGACUCCUACGGGAGGCAGCAGUGGGGAAUUUUGGACAAUGGGCGCAAGCCUGAUCCAGCAAUGCCGCGUGCAGGAAGAAGGCCUUCGGGUUGUAAACUGCUUUUGUACGGAACGAAACGGCAUGGGUUAAUACCCUGGGCUAAUGACGGUACCGUAAGAAUAAGCACCGGCUAACUACGUGCCAGCAGCCGCCGCAG